CCUUCACAUUGGAGAACCACUCGGCAAACUUCGGCAGAUUCCGGUAUCUUACAUCUAGCAUCGGCUGUGUGACAGCAUAGAACUAGAAUACUAAGUAUUCUAGUUCUAUGGUGACAGUAAGUGAUAUGUACCUACGCCUAUACAUUUGCGAUGCGGCACCGGUUUACUUAUAAGGGAAACUUGUCCGCGUUUAGAAAGAAGUUCUCAAAAUUGCGUCGUUCGAAGAGUGUGUAGAAUUUUCAGUGCAAAUUUGUCCUUGUCUAAAGAAAAUCGGAUAAACUUGAAAGAAAAACAGCUUCAAACUUUGAAAAUUUUGUAAGAUAAAACAUUCUUCAAAUACGUCGUCAUCAAUGACGUCAUUGGUCGUCAUGGACAACGCCAUUGUAAUCCGGGAACUUGAAAGUAGUUCUAAUGACGGACUUUGUUAUACAGCCGAGAUUAGAUGUAGGGUACUGGAAUCUGUUGAGUUUUGCCGAGUGAUUGGAGAACGAUAGAUCGGAGACGGUCCUGCGCAUAGAUCUUCUUAACUGAUUGAAUUUCGCGGGAAAAAUCAAACCAAACCCUCGGUCAAGCCAAAAAACUCCGAAUGCACGGGCCGCUUACACCAAGGUAAAGAAAUGCGUAGGGCCGUCUCCGAUCUUCAACAUUCGCUUCUGGAAUGUAAACUAGGCUAACCAUAAACAGAAGAAAAUUUAAUCGAAAUUACGAAAUACAUAAAAAAUGAAGGGUUGUGUUUAAUUAUAAGAUGGAGUUUGAAAAUAGCGUGAUGGUCAUUUGUGCAGAAUUUCUUGAAGAUAUUUGGCAAUAAAGAUUUGGGUUGAUGAAGAUCAGUGAGCACAACAAAAAAAAGCACACUGUAAUAUUUAUAUAUGCAGUUAUUCGCCUUGCUCAAAUAGAGGGAGUUUAUUGUCCAUUCGAUCACACGUUUUGACCAAUCAGAAUCGAGUGUCUGUUGUGACUUUUUGUCCAUGUGAUAGAAACAGUAGAUUAAAAAUGCUAGUAGUACUUACUGGAUACAAGUUCAGUGAAACAAAAUACAAGAACUAAGGGUAAAACUGCCAUGAUAACCAACUGUAAUUUACAAUCUAUGUAUCAUCAAUGGGACAGACAUAUUUAUAGGACUCACGAACAAUUAUGUACCGGUACAUAUUAAUUAUGCAAUUGUCCGACCACUUGUGAAAGAACACAGCCAGAAGAUAUUUAACCAGCCGUUCACACCGGUAUACAAUUAAUUUUGCAAUAUACUUCGGAUGCAAUAAAUUGACAUUUUGAUAACAUUUGAAAGAUAAAUAUCAUUUAGUUUUUAUUUAUCUAUGGAUCCAUUUAACUAUAAUCUCUGUAUUUAUCACCUUCAUCAACAAUUCAUUUCACAAUCCAACCGGGUACAGAGCUGUUCUUUAUGGUCAAUAUAUUUCGUCUUUUUAAAAUUU